rnacentral:rRNA from 1 species
UACAGAGGGUGCGAGCGUUAUUCGGAAUUACUGGGCGUAAAGCGCACGUAGGUGGCGACGUAAGUCGGGUGUGAAAGCCCCGGGCUCAACCUGGGAAUUGCAUUCGAGACUGCAUUGCUGGAGUACGGAAGAGGAAGGCGGAAUUCCCGGUGUAGCGGUGAAAUGCGCAGAUAUCGGGAGGAACACCGGUGGCGAAGGCGGGUCUCUGGGCCGAUACUGACGCUGAGGAGCGAAAGCGUGGGGAGCGAACAGG